rnacentral:rRNA from 1 species
AACGAACGCUGGCGGCAUGCCUAACACAUGCAAGUCGAACGAGACCUUCGGGUCUAGUGGCGCACGGGUGCGUAACGCGUGGGAACCUGCCCUUAGGUUCGGAAUAACUCCCCGAAAGGGGUGCUAAUACCGGAUAAUGUCUUCGGACCAAAGAUUUAUCGCCUUUGGAUGGGCCCGCGUUGGAUUAGCUAGUUGGUAGGGUAAAAGCCUACCAAGGCGACGAUCCAUAGCUGGUCUGAGAGGAUGAUCAGCCACACUGGGACUGAGACACGGCCCAGACUCCUACGGGAGGAAGCAGUGGGGAAUAUUGGACAAUGGGCGAAAGCCUGAUCCAGCAAUGCCGCGUGAGUGAGGAAGGCCUUAGGGUUGUAAAGCUCUUUUACCCGGGAUGAUAAUGACAGUACCGGGAGAAUAAGCUCCGGCUAACUCCGUGC